GUUGUGGUGUUAAAAUACAGGGCUAGGCGUUAUCAGAGGUGCGGGUGUUCCACCAUUUAAGAGAGAGUAUGGGAGGGUGUGGAAGCGUUUCUAGCCCUCUUCAUACCUCUGUAAUGCUUUCUUCCUCUCUUAAUUAAUUCUUUCCCCUGCCAGCUCACCAAGUGUCCUCAGAGAGGCAUUUAAUUGGCACAGAAGCACAGCAGCUCCGUGACCCUCCCCGCAAACACUCACGGCCAAGAACAGAAGCGGCUCCCCUACCUCCCUGCGUCUGCUGCGGUGCGGCGGUGGUGGAGACUCCGCGGUGGAGGUCGGGGUGUCGCCCACCGACGCAGGCCCUGGUGGUGCCGCCGCCUCAUUUUUAAUAAAAGUGCCCCUGCCAAAGCAACUGUAAAGGGAAAUCAAGAUCCCCUCUUUGUGUCUCUUGAUCUUCACCAGACUUGAAGAACCUGUAGUUCUUAGAGCUGGAGGAUACUACUGAAUUUCAAGGAUUAUGGCUGUGAAACAACUAUGCAGACACCAAGGUCAGUGAAGGGCAGAGGAAAAAGAGGAAGAGUUUGAUCAAGAAGCCAGUCCUUUGGCAAAGAAAUGGGAGGAAGGAGCGAGAGAAAUCGGACAUGAAGCAGAAACUACCCGGUCCCUGACCUCAUCAGAACUUCGAGACAUGCGGAAAGAUGACAGCUGCCAGCCAGAGCCAAUGCCAGCCGGCUCCAAGAUGGACCCACCACUGGCCAAGGCCGAGCCCGUCAGCAACAGUGGUAGCACCCCUGGGAUAACAUACUUAAGAAGGGGAAAAAAGCUACACAACAGCAGCUGGGAGAGAGGAGUGAGAACAUGUGAGAGAAACAACUCUGCAGACACCAAGGUCAGUGAAGAAGGAGGGGAGGAGGUGUUCUAGGCGCUGGAGCAGAGAUUCUCCUGCAGCCCGUGGUGAAGACCAUGGUGAGGCAGGGUGUCCCCCUGGAGCCCAUAGAGGUUCACUGUGGAGCUGAUACCUACCUGCAGCCCAUGGAGGAUGCCACACGGGAGCAGGUGGAUGCCCCUGCAGACGGCCGUGACUCCAUGGGAAAGCCCACGCUGGAGCAGUCUGUUCCUGAAGGACUGCACCCCAUGGAAGGGACACAUGCCGGAGCAGUUCAUGAAGAACUGCAGCCCAUGGGAAGGGCCCACGGAGAAGUUUGUGGAGGACUGUCUCCUGUGGGAGGGACCCCACGCUGGAGCAGGGAAAGAGAGUGAGGAGGAAGGAGCGGCAGAGACAGCAUGUGAUGAACUUACUGCAACCCCCAUUCCCCGUCCCCCUGUGCUGCUCUGGGGGGAGGAGGUAGAGAAAUCGGGAGUGAAGUUGAGCCUGGGAAGAAGGGAAGGGUGGGGGGAAGGUGCUUUUAAGAUUUGGAUUUUAUUUCUCAUUAUCCUACUCCAAUUUGAUUGGUAAUAAAUUAAACUAAUUUCCCCAAGUCGAGUCUGUUUAGCCCAUGAUGGUAAUUGGUGAGUGAUCUCUCCCUGUCCUUAUCUCGACCCACGAGCCUUUUGUUGUAUUUUCUCUCCCCUGUCCAGCUGAGGAGCGGGAGUGAUGGAGCGGCUUUGGUGGGCACCUGGCCUCCAGUCAGGGUCAACCCACCACGUUAUGGAAGAAAUACUUGAAGAAUAGAAGUGAUCUUCACAAUCUAUCCAUUUCUUGAUGUAGAGGGCAACGCCUACUUCAUCACCUGUCCCUUCUGAACAGCCUGUAGCCAUCUAUAGCCGCAGUCCUGUCAUGGGAUUUGUACCACCAAGUUUCAGGAAUGGCAACCAGGUCAUAGCUUUCUAGGACAGUGGCUUCCAACUCUUCCUGUUUGUUGCCCAUGCAGUGUGCAUUAGUGUAGAGACACUUCAGCUGGGCUGUGGGCCAUGUCACCUUUUUACAGGAACACACCCUUAAUUCCUUUGAGGUAUUUCACCUGUGUUCCCCCAUUUGCUCUGAUUACCUCAUGAGCCCCUGGCUCAUCUCCAUAAGACUUCAAGUGUGCUGCAGUGUACCCAGCAAUUCUCAGAGGAACAGGCUGAGGGCCCUUGCUAGCACUUCAUCCCUCUAACCUUGGCGUGUCAUCCCUUGGUUUGUCAUGGGUGAGCCUGAUACUAUCCCCCUCCUCCUUCAAGUUCAGUUUAAAGCUCUGUCAAUGAGCCCCACUAGCUCAUGAGCAAAGACCCUCUUCCCCCUUUGAGAAGGAUGAAUCCUAUCCAAUGCCAGCAGGCCUGGUGCCAUGUAAACCAUUCCAUUAUUGAAAAACAGUAAUAGGUAAUAGUCCGAGGGCUGUAGGCGGCUAGGAAGUUUCCUAGUGAUGUCCUUAACCCAGGCCCCAGGGAGGCAGCAGACUUACCUAAGAGGAGGGUCUGUCCGGCAUAUUGGAGUGUCUGUUCCCCUCAGAAGGGAGUCACCUACAACUAUAACCCGUCUUUUCUUCCUCGUGGAGGUGGUCGUCAUACGGGGGGUAGACCUUUCUGUCCUUGGCAACACCUCUGGUGCAGAUGGACCAUCAUCCACAUCAUCCAUUGACUGGCCUUCCACAUCCAGAGCCUCAUACCUGUUGUACCGAGGCACCUGGGAAGGCGAGGUGGGCAAGGAGGCGGUUCGCCUGCCACCCCAAGCAUGGACUUGCCUCUAUUGACUCCUUUCCUUUAAGCUACUGCCUUCUGCCUGGCGGGGGGAGGACAGAGGAUCCCUUUGAUGUUGGUUUUUUUUUCUGGUGGUUGUUCCUGUUUCUGUCUUGGGGAGGGCAGAGCAUGGUUCCACCAGCCUGUCUCUUUCUCAGAUUCCCUGAUGCUCCUUAACCUUUGUACUUCCUCCCGUAGCUCUGCCACCAGGCUGAGCAGAUCGUCCAGUUGGUGACACCUCACACAGCUGUUCUCGCUACUGGUGACACCUCACGCAGCUGUUCUCGCUAAUGCCAUCCGUUACCAGUGAAAGGCUCUGGCACGCCCUGCAGCCUGAGGCCUGGACGGGCUGCACGCUUUUGUGGGAGCUCUGUCCGGGUUGCCACAUCCAUGCUGGCGAGCGAGGAGGACGUGGCUUUCAGCCGGGUGGAAUACCACAGCUAAGCUCCUCCAGGGAGGGCCAUGACCACCGGCUGAACUCACCUCUGGGGCCGGUGGGGGUGACGAUGCCCUUCCCGCGCAAACUGCGGCGCCACGCGCGGGCGGGGGGGGGGGGGUGGCCGCGGUUGCUCUGGCAACGCCCGGGUCUCGCGAGAGCUGCCGGCGCUUGGCGGGUCUCGCCGCUGCCCCGGCGCUUCCCGGCCUGAGGGAACCCCCCCGCCGGGACCUGCCGCUCCGCUGCGGGCCGUUCUGUGGUGCUGCCAUCUAGGAUUUCUGUAAACUUUAGGUAAUUAAGGUCUCGACUUUCCAUAUGUAUGAUGGAUAUGUCUUCUCUAGAUAGGAGAUACGUAAUUAUCUUAAAUGGGUAGCAGGACAAUACAGACAUUUUAGAAAACACAGAUACUAAAUAGGCUGUUCUGCUGUUGAAAGUCAUUAGCAGUGGUGGUUGCUUUUUUUGUUAACGUAAAAUACAUUAGUCUUGUUUAACUAUUGCAAAGUGAAGUAAUGCUGAGUAGAAAAUAACGUGUGCUGGUGCCCCUCACAAAGUUAGUGCUUUUGAACUCCCUGACACAUUUCAAAACGUAGGGUAAGAUGGAAUCUUUGCUUGUAGUUCCAAGUACGGGACAAAACGUAGCCUUACCAGUUCAGAAGGAGCUCAGAAAGAAAUUAUGACUCAGAGACGGUCCUCUGAAUCAUACUUCCCCUGAGCUGUAGCAUUGCACAAGUGGGGAGUGCGCGAUCAGCCCUUUGCCAGAGGAAGCAAAUUCCCUCUCCCAUGUCCAGUCAGCUCCCUUUGCUGAUACAGAAGGCAGCAAAAUGACGAUUAUGUUUACUUCUGACCCAAUUUCCCCCAACUUCUCCACUUACUCAUGGAAGGAAAUGAUGUCUCUUCGAGGUUUGCUCAUUAAUACAGUGCCCUUAAUACAGUUUUCAGGAAGGAUGGCAUGAUGGCACAGCAGAAUGCAAGAACGCCUUACAACUUCCACGCGGAACUUUAUGGCCAUCAGAUGCCUGGUGUAUUAAGUAUGUUUUACUGCUCAUUUUUAGGUAGGUGGGACACUGUACUCGCUUGUUGGGUCUGAAACCAAUGCUUGUUCCUUGGGCACUCACUUUUCAUCCUAUAGGAAGCAAAUCUGUCGCAGUGAGCGAAUAUAUCAGCAACACCUACAUGGCUUGCAAAGUACUGUUUGAGUUUGAUUCCAGGCAGAUUUGGCAAGACUAAUGAUCACCAAGUAAAACACAAUUAAACAAAUCUGAGUUCUUGGUAAUUUUUUUCAUAAAACAAACCGUACUCACGUGCAAACCAACAAAAAUAAGUAUUUCCUGUGUGUUAAAUUUAAGAAUUUAAGAAUAGUGUAAGCAAAUUAUCAGCUGAUCAGCUAAUUAAGCUCUGCAAUGACUUAUAACAGAUUCAGCCAGCAGAUUUUACAGAUGAACAGUGAUUUAUCUGUAAAUAAUUGAGAUUAAAGUAUUCAUUUGUUAGUAUUAGAUCGGCUAGCAAUGCAAAGGUCCAUUGUUCUUAAUGGCUAAAGAGGUUAAUGAUUCUGGUAACCUACUAGGAAUCAAGCAUUUAGAAUUCUAAUUUGGUAGGAACAGUAAUUCUAUGCGAAGCCUGACAUUGAAUAGGGGUUUUUUUUUUCCUGGUUGAUGAAGGAGGAAAAUCUAAAGUAGAUAGGAUAGCAUAUGUUGAAAUUGGUCAUUUCAAUGAUAGACAUCUAUACAUUUAUAGUGAAAUUUUAAGAAAAUUUUACCUGAACCAUGCACUUAAGGGACAAAUUACGCACCUAUCAAUAUAGGAGGAAAUGCAUGAGGAAAUAUCAAUUUGUUCAGUUUAGCCUGUAGGACUGCUUGGGUAAAUGGCUGCUCACCAACACAAAUAUAGAUUGUGCAAUCUAAUUUUAAGUAUGCAACUUGAAAUUCCAUUCUGUAUGAUCCUUACACCUACGUUUGUUCUUCAGAAAGAGCAUUCACAGAUUCACAAGUAGUUUUCACAACAACUAAAAAUUUUUACAAAAGAAAAUAGGUUAUAAUAAAGCCAGGGAAAAAAUUAUGUUGCAAUAAAUUGAAACAACAGGAGAUUGUCACUGAGUAUUUGCUCUGUCUCCUGAUACUCGAUUCUCUGGGCUGUUCCGUUAUUCUUGUUAGUCUUUUAUGCUUGUCAAGCUUUAUUUUCCAUCACUUUACAAAAACUGAAGAAUAGACUGAGAAAUAAAUGAUCAUAAUUAUAAAAAAUAUGAUGUGCCUGUGUUUUUUAGGAACAUAACAGUCAUUCUGACAGAUACGCCCUUAUAGUGUAGAAGGUAAAACUGGUAAACCUGAUCUAGACUGUCUCUAUGACUGGCAUACUAUGUGGCCAGUGAACAAGUGUUAGUCUGCUUCCAUGGUAUUAUUCACAGUUUUAUGGAGUUCUGAGGAGAGGCGUUAUCUAUAGUGCCUUUUUAGGUAACAGUGACAUCAUUUGUAUGAUUUGGUUUAUAUUGUACUUAUUUUUAAUAUAUCAGUGUAGAUUAACUCAACACUUCUUGGUACUGAUGCAUCUCGGAGAAUAGGGUAAUUUUCCCCUGUAUCCAUGGCUUGAUGUGAGUGAGAGUAGGGGAGAGGAAAGAGUCUGCGUAAAUAUGUUGUAUCAGUGCAAAAUCAAUCACUUAAUGCCUUUCAGGGCUUCCCUUACUACUGUGCUUUCGGUAGUAGAAUUUUCUGUUACUUAGUACUGUUGGCAGUUCAGUGUUAUUUCUGUGUAUUUGUACAAUAUGCAGCAUAAUGACCUUUACCACAAUAUGAAGAAUAAAUAAUAAUAGAGGGGCAGUGAAUCUCUAAAUUAUAUUUCAUACUAGAUUAGAACAGGCUUACCUCUCUUUUUUAAUAAAGGCAUUUGAUAUAUUUUGAAAUAAAGUAUUUCUUCAUUUUUUUGAAUAAAAACAUCUCCAAAAUUUAUAUCCUAAAACUCCUGAAGAUGAAAUGUACAAGGUAUGCAUUUGUAUCACUGCAUUUCAUAGCAAUGUAUUUCUCAUCUCCAGGCAGUUUAUAAAGGAGUAAUGCUCAGAAGAUUUCAAAAUCUUGCCUAACAUUCUGCUGUUGCUUCUUAAAUCAGAUUCUGAAGUGUUCGUGUUCCAAAUCUCAAUUACUUUUGAAUCUUGCAAAGUGAACCUGGCACUGGAUGCUAAUCCCUUCAACAUAAAAGCAUAGUAUGAUGUAAUAAAACUGUAUUUCAUACAGUCUUACAAAUAAAUUAUGUCCCAAAUAAGUUUAUAGAA